GAUGAACGCUGGCGGCGUGCCUAAUACAUGCAAGUCGAGCGAACAGACGAGGAGCUUGCUCCUCUGACGUUAGCGGCGGACGGGGGAGUAACACGUGGAUAACCUACCUAUAAAACUGGGAUAACUUCGGGAACCCGGAGCUAAUACCGGAGAAUAUAUUAAACCGCAUGGUUUAAUAGUGAAAGAGGUUUUUGCUGUCACUUAUAGAUGGAUCCGCAACGCAUUAGCUAGUUGGUAAGGUAACGGCUUACUAAGGCAACGAUGCGUAGCCGACCUGAGAGGGUGAUCGGGCACACUGGAACUGAGACACGGUCCAGACUCCGACGGGAGGCAGCAGUAGGGAAUCUUCCGCAAUGGGCGAAAGCCUGACGGAGCAACGCCGCGUGAGUGAUGAAGGUCUUCGGAUCGUAAAACGCUGUUAUUAGGGAAGAACAAAUGUGUAAUUAACUAUGCACGUCUUGACGGUACCGAAGCAGAAAGCCACGGCUAACUACGUG
rnacentral:rRNA from 1 species